rnacentral:rRNA from 1 species
UACGAGGGGGGCAAGCGUUGUUCGGAAUUAUUGGGCGUAAAGGGUGCGUAGGUGGUUCGGCAAGUCUUGUGUGAAAUCUUCAGGCUCAACUUGAAGUCUGCACAAGAAACUGCCGGGCUUGAGUAUGGGAGAGGUGAGUGGAAUUUCCGGUGUAGCGGUGAAAUGCGUAGAUAUCGGAAGGAACACCUGUGGCGAAAGCGGCUCACUGGACCAUUACUGACACUGAGGCA